UCCCGUGUGGCUCAGUUGGUAGAGCAUGGUGUUUGCAACGCCAGGGUUGUGGGUUUGUUUCCCACAGGGGAC
rnacentral:tRNA from 1 species